ACGAAGGGUGCUAGCGUUGUUCGGAAUUACUGGGCGUAAAGCGCACGUAGGCGGGCGAUUAAGUCAGGGGUGAAAUCCCAGAGCUCAACUCUGGAACUGCCUUUGAUACUGGUCGUCUCGAGAUCGGAAGAGGUGAGUGGAAUUCCCAGUGUAGAGGUGAAAUUCGUAGAUAUCGGGAGGAACACCAGUGGCGAAGGCGGCGACCUGGACGGACACUGACGCUGAGACGCGAAAGCGUGGGGAGCAAACAGGA
rnacentral:rRNA from 1 species